GCUGAGCGGGUGGUGGUGGUGGUGGUGAUGGGGAAUCUGACACGCUGGCAUCCGUUCCUGCCACCCCCAACUUUGAGAAAGAUGUCCCUGGGCGAGUUCUCAACCCAGGUAACCGUGCGAGUCUCCAGCCCGAUCCUCGGCCUUGCUCACCAAACGAGCGAUGUGGAUGUCUAUUUGAGGUUUGUUGACGUUUUGGUGUUCUUAAUUGGCCACGCAGGGAAAUGUUGUCAGCAGGACUUUGUGAAAGUUUUAAUCAAGGCACAACUUGAAACCUAAUUAGCGAAUAAGCACGGCAUGAAGUUUACGUCAUGUGACCUGAUGAUUGAAAUUAAUGUUUUCCUACGGCUGUCCCGAAAGAGUUGAGUAAGCCAGGAAAGGGCAUUGAUGGUGACAUUGCUAGCAAGUGGUGUGCAGUGUUGGCCUUUGGGGUGGUGGGUGGGGGGAGGGGCUCCUAACGUUCUGUUACAGGACCCCAGCAGUUGUACCUAGCGCAGACGUCUCUGUUCAACUCCACGCAAUUCCUUACUGGAACUCCACACAGCCUCGGUGCUACUCAACGCAACCUUGAUGCAACGUCAACACCGUCUAUCAGGGAGUGUCAAUGUCUCUUGCUAUCCACAGCAGCAACAUUAUUACUAUGCAGUGGUCAUGUGCAGUGCUGCUAGGUAGCCACGAGUGUGAACACGGAGGUUGUGUUUAUCAUUGUCAAGGCUGAGCGGGUGGUGGUGGGGAAUCGGACAUGCUGGCAUCCGUUCCUGCCACCCCCAACUUUGAGAAAGAUGUCUGGGCAAGUUCUCAACCCAGGUAACCGUGCGAGUCUCCGGCCCGAUCCUCGGCCUUGCUCAUCAAUCGAGCGAUUAGUUUUCGUAAUUGGAAACGCAGGGAAUCGUCAGGAGGACGUUGAAAGUUUUAAUGGAGGCAAAACUUGAAACCUUCAUUUACAAAUAACCACAGCAUGAAGUUUACGUAAUGUGACCUGAAGAUUGAAAUCAAUGUUUUCUUACGGCUAUCCUGAAUAUUUCCCUAAGCCAGGAAAGGGCGUUGAUGGUGACAUUGCUAGCAAGCGGUGUGCAGUGUUGGCCAUUGUGGCUCUGGGGUGGUGGGAGGGGCUCCUAACGUUCUAUGUUACAGGACCCCAGCAGUUGUGCCUAGCGCAGACGUCUCUGUUCAACUCAACUCAACUUCCUCAGUUGCAACUCCUCCACACAACCUCGCUGCAACUCCUCUACACAACCUCCGUGCAACUUUACGUAACCUCAGAACACCUUCACGCAACCUUGCUCCAACUCCUCGCAACUUCAGUGCAACUCCACGUUCUCUGUGCACCUCCCAAGCAACCUCGCGACAUCGUACAAGGGGACAGCAAGAGGGAAGGAAGCACAAAUUGCUCCUCUAUCAUCGGGCAUUCCAGGCAGUUAACGGGACCUGGUAACACCGUAAAUACUUUGACAUUCACAUUUGCCUUGCUGCUGCUACUACUACAGGCCUUGUGUUUGUAUCAGGGGGGAGUGGGGGGGGGGGGUACUCUAACGUUCUGUCUUCCAGAAUCCUCCCCGGGUCUACUCUCCUUUUAUCUUUGAACAUCAUCUCAACAUCUCGGUACAGCUCCAAACCAAGGAAGCCCCAACGGGGCAGAGAUCCCAGGCAGUGACGGGACAGGGAGCCAGGUCUGCGUCUUUGAUGUCUCGGCUCAAGUGCAGAGGAAGGAAGUGCAACGGUCGAAUCGGCGGUGGAUACGGGCAGUUAGCGGACCUCCUGGACCCCAGCAGUUGUGCCUAGCGCAGACGUCUCUGUUCAACUCCACGCAAUUCCUUACUGGAACUCCACACAGCCUCGGUGCUACUCAACGCCACCAGGGAGUGUCCAAUGUCUCUUGCUACCCACAGCAGCAACAUUAUUACUAUGCAAUGGUCAUGAGCAGUGCUGCUAGGUAGCCACGAGUGUGAACACGGAGGUCGUGUUUAUCGUUGUCAAGGCUGAGCGGGUGAUGGUGACGAUGGGCGGAAUGGGAGAAACGCCAACCCCCUACCGCUGUUACAACCCAGUCCUGGACAGGAGAGGCCAGGGACGACCAACAGCGUCCAUCAGGGAGUGUCAAUGUCUCUCGCUACCCACAGCAGCAGCAUUCUUUAUUAUCAAUGGCAAUGAGCCGUGCUGUGUAGCCACGCGUGAGCAUCAUGGAGGUUGUGUUUUAUUAUUGUCAAGGCUGAGCGGGUGGUGGUGGUGAUGGGGAAUCGGACACGCUGGCAUCCGUUCCUGCCCCCCCAACUUUGAGAAAGAUGUCUGGGCGAGUUCUCAACCCAGGACCCCAGCAGUUGUGCCUAGCGCAGACGUCUCUGUUCAACUCCACUCAACUUCCUCAGUUGCAACUCACACGGCCUCAGUGCAACUCUUCCAUACAACCUCGGUGCAACUCCACGUUACCUCGGUGCAACUCUACGUAACCUGAGAACACCUUCACGCAACCUUGCUCCAACUCCUCGCAACUUCAGUGCAACUCCACGUGUUCUCUGUGCACCUCCCAAGCAACCUCGCGACAUCGUACAAGGGGACAGCAAGAGGGAAGGAAGCGCAAAUUGCUCCUCUAUCAUCGGCCAUUCCAGGCAGUUAACGGGACCCGGUAACACCGUAAAUACUUUGACAUUCACAUUUGCCUUGCUGCUGCUACUACUACAGGCUUUGUGUUUGUAUUAGGGGGAGUGGGGGGGGGUCUCUAACGUUCUGUCUUCCAGAAUCCUCCCGUGAUCUGUAGCCACGCGUGAGCAUCAUGGGGGUUGUGUUUUAUUAUUGUCAAGGCUGAGCGGGUGGUGAUGGGGAAUCGGACACGCUGGCAUCCGUUCCUGCCACCCCCAACUUUGAGAAAGAUGUCUGGGCGAGUUCUCAACCCAGGUAACUGUGCGAUUCUCCGGCCCGAUCCUCGGCCUUGCUCACCAAACGAGCGAUGUGGAUGUCUACUUGAACACCAAAGGAACAUUAAAUUCUCCCAAACGCAGCUGUCGGCAGUGGCUGAGCUCACUUGCCAACGAGGACAUUCAAUUGAUUUUGAUAACGUUGAAGUGUUACGCGGAGCUAGUUAUUACUGGCCGAGAUUAGUUGGAGAAUAAAUCUGAAUUGAGAAGAAUUCAAAUAAUUUCAACCCGCUCUGUUCGCAACCGGCUCGGCGCAGCCUGGAGGCGUCUUAAAUCUCGACUUAAAGCUUUCGUGACUGCAGGAAUUAAUAUUCUUUGGGUCAUUCGGUAAAGCCACGUGACUUUACCGAAAGACCCAAAGAAUAUGGAAGCGUAUUAUUAAGUAACACUCAACACACUUUGCAAUUGCUUACAGGUCAGUGACAUGCUAAGUUGCUGAUUACUGAUCUGUUACUUGAUUGCAUAUUCCCCCGCCUCUGAUCUCGAAUCCUGAUGGGGUUCAACAACGAUGGCACGGUCAUCCUGCGCUAUUUAAGACCAGAGCAGGUGGAUGGUUUCACUAUUCUGGCAAAUUUGCCCGAAGGUGCCGGAUGUGAUUUGCAGUGAAACGUCACGCUACCCAGAUUGUCAAUGUUGUGGAUCCGCUCUGCAACACACCGGCGGGCUAAAGUGGUGAACUAUUUUGUCUCUUGUCAACGUGACACAUCUUUUUACUGAUUGGCCGUGUCGGGUGGUGGAGGGUUGCGACACAUUUAAAAAUAACGCGAUCUGACACAAAAACACCUUCACCGUGAAUCAUCGUGGUCGCGAAAGCGUGCGACGUGUUAGACCGAGGUUUGAUGAAUUGAACUUUUGGCAUUCAUAAUUGAACACGCGGGGAAAGUUGUCGGCAGGACUUUGUUAAAGUUUUAAUCGAGGCAAAACUUUAAACCUUUAUUUGCAAAUGAACACAGCGUGAAGUUUACGUCAUGUGAGCUGAAGAUUGAGAUCAAUGUUUUCUUACGACUAUCCUGAAUAUUUCCCUAAGCCUGGAAAGGGCGUUGAUGGUGACAUUGCUAGCAACGGUGUGCAGUGUUGGCCAUUGUGGCUCUGGGGUGGUGUGUGGGGGGAGGGGCUCCUAACGUUCUAUGUUACAGGACCCCAGCAGUUGUGCCUAGCGCAGACGUCUCUGUUCAACUCCACGCAACUUCCUCAGUUGCAACUCAUACGGCCUCAGUGCAACUCCUCCAUACAACCUCGGUGCAACUUCACGUAACUUAAGAACACCUUCACGCAACCUUGCUCCAACUCCUCACAACUUCGGUGCAACUCCACACGGCCUCAGUUACAACUCCACACAACCUCGCUGCAACUCCACGUUACCUCGGUGCAACUCCACGUAACCUCAGAACAACUUCAUUCAACCUUGCUCCAACUCCUCGCAACUUCAGUGCAACUCCACACGUUCUCUGUGCAACUCCCAAGCAACCUCGCGACAUCGUACAAGGGGACAGCAAGAGGGAAGGAAGCGCAAAUUGCUCCUCUAUCAUCGGCCAUUCCAGGCAGUUAACGGGACCCGGUAACACCGUAAAUACUUUGACAGUCACAUUUGCCUUGCUACUGCUACUACUACUACAGGCCUUGUGUUUGUAUCAGGGGGAGUGGGGGGGGGGUCUCUAACGUUCUGUCUUCCAGAAUCCUCUCCCUGGUCUACUCUCGCUCAAACAUCAAACAUCUCGGUACAGCUCCAAACCAAGGAAGCCCCAACAGGGCAGAGAUCCCAGGCAGUGACAGGACAGGGAGCCAGGUCUGCCUCUCGAUGUCUCGGUUCAAGUGCAGAGGAUGGAAGUGCAAACGGUCGAAUCGGCGGUGGAUUCAGGCAGUUAACGGACCUCCUGGUAACAACGCAACUCCUUUGGCCGUGCGUUUGAAUUUGCCUCGCUGCUGCUACUACUACAGGAUUUGUUUGUAUCGGGGAGGGGGGAGGGGCUCCUAAUGUUCUGUGUUACAGGACUCCAGCAGUUGUGCCUAGCGCAGACGUUUCUGUUCAACUCCACGCAAUUCUUUACUGGAACUCCACACAGCCUCGGUGCUACUCAACGGAACCUUGAUGCAACUCCAACAGCGUCCAUCAGGGAGUUUCAAUGUCUCUUGCUACCCACAGUAGCAACAUUAUUACUAUGCAGUGGUCAUGAGCAGUGCUCCUAGGUAGCCACGAGUGUGAACACGGAGGUUGUGUUUGUCA